rnacentral:lncRNA from 10 species
UGACUAAAACUUUUGAAAUUUAAACAGCAAGAUUUAGUAUUCUCUCACUCUAAUAUUCAUAUUUUCCCCCUAAUUUUAAGAGAAGUUGCUUAGUAUCAGGCUGAGUAUAAAGUGGAAGCCACAAUUUUCUUCCUAGCUACUGUUCAUUUUAUUUCUUAACAGGUAAAAGUGUUAAAUACAACCAUCUGUAUGAAAUAAUAUUUGUAGGAAAUACAAGAAACUUAAUAACACUAAGAAACACUGGAAUAAAAAGAAAUUACUUGGCCGGGUGCGGUGGCUUGCGCCUGUAAUCCCAGUACUCUGGGAGGCCGAGGCGGGCGGAUCACCUCAGGUUGGGAGUUUGAGACCAGCCUGACCAACAUGGAGAAACCCCGUCUGUACUAAAAAUACAAAAUUAGCCGAGCGUGAUGGCGCAUGCCUGUAAUCCCAGCUACUCGGGAGGCUGAGGCAGGAGAAUUGCUUGAACCUGGGAGGCGGAGAUUGUGGUGAGCCGAGAUCGUGCCAUUGCACUCCAGCCUGGGCAACAAGAGCAAAACUCCAUCUCAAAAAAAAAAAAAAAAAAAAAGGCAUUACUUAAAUACAAUGUAUAUUAUUUUCCAGAAAACAACAUUCAUUUAUUAAUUCAACAAAUAUUUGUUGAAGACCUACUAGAUGUUUUCAUUCUAAGUACUAGAAAUGAAAGGGUAGAUAAGUCAGGUUUAUAGCCUAGUAUAUAGU